CCGUGUCCGCGGCGGGAGUGCGUUCCGGGGGGCGUGACUUCCUGGAGCCCUACUUACCACCUUCAGGCGUUGUCCUUUCUUUUUCAUUUUCUCUCCUUUUCCCUUCCCUUUUCCGGUGCUGGGGAUGGAGCCCCGGGCCUUGCGCUUGCUAGGCCAGUGUCUUACCACCUGCCACCUCGCCGACCCCUUGUCGCCCCUCUACCCAGAGCGCGGAUGAGCGCUUCCCACAAGGGCCAGACCGCAGGCCUUCUUCCUGCAGCACCCACUCAGGCCGGGCCACUGGCACCUCCCUAUGCGGUUACCGCUCUUUACCGGUGACUUGGCCUUGCUUCCCCAGUGCUGAAGUAUAACAGCAGAGAAGCACCCGGGGCAGGUUUAGAGCGGAAAGUAGAAGCUUCAUUAAGGACAGCAGGAAAGACUUCUCCCUGAGGAAGAAGGGGACCCAAGAGAGAUAGGGUCUCUCUGAGUUGCUGAGCACCUCCCUUUGCUGAGGCUGGCUUUGAACUCCAGAGCCUCUGAGAUUACAGAUCUUGUCUUGGUUAUUGGAUUGGCAUGGAGGCCCAGGACUCCAGCUUCCGGUUACAGAAGUUGUUAGCACAAAAGGACCUGGCCAGACUCAAACUUCACGGAUCAUCUCAGCCUUUUAUCCAGAAAAGAAGUUUCAUGCAGGAACAGGGUGGGCAGGAAUGGGGUGAUGCUGCUGGGCCCACUUUCAUGGUAGAAAAUGAGCCACUGAACAAAGGAGAGGACUGGGCUUAAUUAAGUCAUGAAAGAUUUUCCAGAGGGAAGAAGGCCAGUGUGUCAUAGAGAGGUUCUUCUGCCCAGAAGAGUCCAAGCCACCCUAAAUCUUAAUAUCUCAAAUAAUUAACAAGUAAUAAAACAAACACUUGGGCUGGGGUGGUGCCUCAGUGGUAGAGCACUUGCCUAGCAUGUGUGAGGCACUG